AACGAACGCUGGCGGCAUGCCUAACACAUGCAAGUCGAACGAGACCUUCGGGUCUAGUGGCGCACGGGUGCGUAACGCGUGGGAACCUGCCCUUAGGUUCGGAAUAACUCCCCGAAAGGGGUGCUAAUACCGGAUAAUGUCUUCGGACCAAAGAUUUAUCGCCUUUGGAUGGGCCCGCGUUGGAUUAGCUAGUUGGUAGGGUAAAAGCCUACCAAGGCGACGAUCCAUAGCUGGUCUGAGAGGAUGAUCAGCCACACUGGGACUGAGACACGGCCCAGACUCCUACGGGAUGCAGCAGUGGCGAAUAUUGGACAAUGGGCGAAAGCCUGAUCCAGCAAUGCCGCGUGAGUGAUGAAGGCCUUAGGGUUGUAAAGCUCUUUUACCCGGGAUGAUAAUGACAGUACCGGGAGAAUAAGCUCCGGCUAACUCCGUG
rnacentral:rRNA from 1 species